AGUGAACGCUGGCGGUAGGCCUAACACAUGCAAGUCGAACGGCAGCACAGUAAGAGCUUGCUCUUACGGGUGGCGAGUGGCGGACGGGUGAGGAAUACAUCGGAAUCUACUUUUUCGUGGGGGAUAACGUAGGGAAACUUACGCUAAUACCGCAUACGACCUACGGGUGAAAGCAGGGGAUCUUCGGACCUUGCGCGAUUGAAUGAGCCGAUGUCGGAUUAGAUAGUUGGCGGGGUAAAGGCCCACCAAGGCGACGAUCCGUAGCUGGUCUGAGAGGCUGAUAGGCCACACGAGAGCUGAAACGCGCUCAAGGCUCCUGAGGGAGGGAGCAGUGGGGUAUAUGAGGCAGUGGGCGGAAGCCUGGUCCAACGGUACGGCGUGGGUGGAGGAAACCUUCGGGUUGUAAUGACGUUUUGUGGGGAAAGAAAAGCAUCAGGUUGAUACCAAGCGGUUCUGACGGUACCCAGUGAAUAAGCACCGGCUAACUACGUG
rnacentral:rRNA from 1 species